UUUGGCGUUCGGCUUGCGCGCGAUGAUCCCGUUGCCUACCGCGUGCAGCAGGUGGGUUUUCCCAAGCCCGGUGCCGCCGUA
rnacentral:antisense_RNA from 1 species